UUCUAUUUUUCUUCAAAACUCAACUUGUAAACGAACCCUUAGAGUCUGAUCUAGCUUGGCUCCAUAUCUGAUUGGAAACCUUACAUUAGAUAGUACAUACUAAUACUAUCUAAACAAAUUAUAAAAAAAAACACAUAAAAAACAUGGAUCUAUUAAUUCUGAGGUGUUGAAUCCACCACUGAGUUAUGCCACUUUGAAGGACCUGAAGGUGGAACUGAUCCUUUGGGAAAGAAGUUGAAAACUAGGUCUUGGUAUUCAAAACCUGGCUGGUGGUGCUUUCCUUUGAGAAACUCUUUUCUUUCAUGAUUCACACUCAUAGUAGUUGUCAUUGUUCUUAUUGCGGUGCAAGAACAAACAAAGAGCAAAUAAAUCAGAAAAAUAACUAGAGAAAAGUUUUUGCAGGGUAGAUGCAAGGAUUUAGAAGAACAAGAAUUUGCCAUGGAAAUAAGGGGACUAUAGAGGAUGUAUGUUUGGUACUUAUAUAUUUGUGUUCAUAAGAAGGUUUAGCUUAUUUUCAAUGUAGGGACAGAUAUUUUAUGAGGAUGUUUUUCAAGAGAAGGAAGAGGCUUUAUAUAUAUGUGUGUGUUUGCAUGGGGAACAAUGAAAAAGUGAGGCUAUUGGGAUUGUGAAGAGUGGGAAAUGUAAACAAGAAAAGUGAGAUGCGCGCGGGCAAAU
rnacentral:lncRNA from 1 species